rnacentral:rRNA from 1 species
GGGCGUGAGUAAAGUGGCGUACGGGUGAGUAACACGUGAGUAACCUACCUUCUGGCGCGGGACAACAGCUCGAAAGGGCUGCUAAUACCGCAUACGUCGGUGACGGCUUUGGCUGUUACCGGGAAACGGUGGCCUCUCCUUGGAAGCUAUCGCCAGAAGAUGGGCUCGCGGCCCAUCAGCUUGUUGGUGAGGUAACGGCUCACCAAGGCGAAGACGGGUAGCUGGUCUGAGAGGAUGAUCAGCCACACUGGGACUGAGACACGGCCCAGACUCCUACGGGAGGCAGCAGUGGGGAAUAUUGGACAAUGGGCGCAAGCCUGAUCCAGCCACGCCGCGUGUGUGAUGAAGGCUUUCGAGUCGUAAAGCACUGUGGAGAGGGACGAAAUGUCAUGGGAACAAUACCCCAUGGCCUUGACGGUACCUCUUUAGCAAGCACCGGCUAACUCCGUGCCAGCAGCCGCGGUAAUACGGAGGGUGCAAACGUUGCUCGGAAUCAUUGGGCGUAAAGCGCGCGUAGGCGGCACAGUAAGUCGAGUGUGAAAGCCCUGGGCUCAACCCAGGAAGUGCGCUCGAAACUGCUGCGCUCGAGUACGGGAGAGGGUAACGGAAUUCCCGGUGUAGAGGUGAAAUUCGUAGAUAUCGGGAGGAACACCAGUGGCGAAGGCGGUUACCUGGACCGAUACUGACGCUGAGGCGCGAAAGCGUGGGUAGCAAACAGGAUUAGAUACCCUGGUAGUCCACGCCGUAAACG